rnacentral:rRNA from 1 species
GGGGAACUGAAACAUCUAAGUACCCCGAGGAAAAGAAAUCAACCGAGAUUCCCCCAGUAGCGGCGAGCGAACGGGGAGGAGCCCAGAGCCUGAAUCAGCAUGUGUGUUAGUGGAAGCGUCUGGAAAGGCGCGCGAUACAGGGUGACAGCCCCGUACACAAAAGCGCAUGUGCUGUGAGCUCGAUGAGUAGGGCGGGACACGUGGUAUCCUGUCUGAAUAUGGGGGGACCAUCCUCCAAGGCUAAAUACUCCUGACUGACCGAUAGUGAACCAGUACCGUGAGGGAAAGGCGAAAAGAACCCCGGCGAGGGGAGUGAAAAAGAACCUGAAACCGU